AUGAGGUCGAUGCGCCCCCUGCCACACUUCCUUCUUCGUCGCGUCACCAUAUUUGGAGGAGAUGCGGGUUCUGCUCGCGCAUCUGCUCCUCCCGGAGUUGUCGCCUUCGGCAGGAGGGAGUGCCGGACCUCGCGCCAACUCGAGGACCGCCGCUCCGGCGGCCCGUUGUUUCUGGCCGCUGUCCGCCUCGUUGGCCCUCUUCGUGGCUUGCCCUCUGGUGCCCCAUCCAUUCGCUACCAGUCACGCACCAGCUUUAGGUUGCCGGCACCUAGGAGGGACCGGACAGCAAAAUCGGUGCUCAUCAAAGAUAGCGUUGAUGCCCCUUACGGCCUUACCCGACAACACAGUUCUGCGGAAGCUUCUUGGUCUCCGUUCCAUGGUGUUGCCAACGAGCAAGUGCUGAAGCACACAAAAUAUAAGGGUGUAGAUGAGGAGGCGAGGGCUGACGACAACCAUGGGAGGAGAAACAUUCAAGCCAUUGUAACAUGUUUCGCAGGGGAGCACGUCCAGCUGUCGUAUGAGAAGAAGGGCGCGCAGCUGAGGACCCAGGAUGCCAAUGGUGUGGAGCCGUUCGCCAUCGAGACGACCAGGGCUGCCACUAGGGACCUCCAGACCAAGCUCAACAUCUCUGCCGCCUUCGUCGAUGACGUGUCCUGA
rnacentral:rRNA from 1 species